UACAGAGGUCUCAAGCGUUGUUCGGAUUCAUUGGGCGUAAAGGGUGCGUAGGCGGCGCGGUAAGUCGGGUGUGAAAUCUCGGAGCUUAACUCCGAAACUGCAUUCGAUACUGCCGUGCUUGAGGACUGGAGAGGAGACUGGAAUUUACGGUGUAGCGGUGAAGUGCGUAGAUAUCGUAAGGAAGACCAGUGGCGAAGGCGGGU
rnacentral:rRNA from 1 species